AGUCGGACGAGACCUUCGGGUUUAGUGGCGCACGGGUGAGUAACGCGUGGGAAUCUGCCCUGUGGUACGGAAUAACAUCGGGAAACUGGUGCUAAUACCGUAUAUCCCCUGAGGGGGAAAGAUUUAUCGCCAUAGGAGGAGCCCGCGUAGGAUUAGCUAGUUGGUGGGGUAACGGCCUACCAAGGCGACGAUCCUUAGCUGGUCUGAGAGGAUGGCCAGCCACACUGGGACUGAGACACGGCCCAGACUCCUACGGGAGGCAGCAGUGGGGAAUAUUGGACAAUGGGCGAAAGCCUGAUCCAGCCAUGCCGCGUGUGUGAUGAAGGCCUUCGGGUUGUAAAGCACUUUCGCACGUGACGAUGAUGACGGUAACGUGAGAAGAAGCCCCGGCUAACUUCGUGCCAGCAGCCGCGGUAAUACGAAGGGGGCAAGCGUUGUUCGGAAUUACUGGGCGUAAAGGGCGCGUAGGCGGUGCACUAAGUCAGGCGUGAAAGCCCUGGGCUCAACCCGGGAACUGCGCUUGAUACUGGUGCGCUUGAAUCCAGGAGAGGUUGGUGGAAUUCCCAGUGUAGAGGUGAAAUUCGUAGAGAUUGGGAAGAACACCGGUGGCGAAGGCGGCCAACUGGACUG
rnacentral:rRNA from 1 species